UGGGGAAUAUUGCACAAUGGGCCCAAGCCUGUUGCAGCGACGCCGCGUGGGGGAUGACGGCCUUCGGUUUGUAAACUCCUUUCGCUAGGGACGAAGCUUUUUGUGACGGUACCUAAAUAAGAAGCACCGGCUAACUACGUGCCAGCAGCCGCGGUAAUACGUAGGGUGCGAGCGUUGUCCGGAAUUACUGGGCGUAAAGGGCUCGUAGGUGGUUUGUCGCGUCGUCUGUGAAAUUCCGGGGCUUAACUCCGGGCGUGCAGGCGAUACGGGCAUAACUUGAGUACUGUAGGGGUAACUGGAAUUCCUGGUGUAGCGGUGAAAUGCGCAGAUAUCAGGAGGAACACCGAUGGCGAAGGCAGGUUACUGGGCAGUUACUGACGCUGAGGAGCGAAAGCAUGGGUAGCGAACAGG
rnacentral:rRNA from 1 species